GGCUUAGAAGCAGCCACCAUUUAAAGAGUGCGUAAUAGCUCACUAGUCGAGUGACACUGCGCCGAAAAUGUACCGGGGCUAAACAUAUUACCGAAGCUGUGGAUUGUCCUUUGGACAAUGGUAGGAGAGCGUUCUAAGGGCGUCGAAGCAUGAUCGCAAGGACAUGUGGAGCGCUUAGAAGUGAGAAUGCCGGUGUGAGUAGCGAAAGACGGGUGAGAAUCCCGUCCACCGAUUGACUAAGGUUUCCAGAGGAAGGCUCGUCCGCUCUGGGUUAGUCGGGUCCUAAGCUGAGGCCGACAGGCGUAGGCGAUGGAUAACAGGUUGAUAUUCCUGUACCACCUAGUAUCGUUUUAAUCGAUGGGGGGACGCAGUAGGAUAGGCGAAGCGUGCUGUUGGAGUGCACGUCCAAGCAGUAAGGCUGAGUGUUAGGCAAAUCCGGCACUCAUAAGGCUGAGCUGUGAUGGGGAGAGGAAAUUGUUUCCUCGAGUCGUUGAUUUCACACUGCCGAGAAAAGCCUCUAGAUAGAUAACAGGUGCCCGUACCGCAAACCGACACAGGUAGUCAAGAUGAGAAUUCUAAGGUGAGCGAGCGAACUCUCGUUAAGGAACUCGGCAAAAUGACCCCGUAACUUCGGGAGAAGGGGUGCUCUUUAGGGUUCACGCCCAGAAGAGCCGCAGUGAAUAGGCCCAAGCGACUGUUUAUCAAAAACACAGGUCUCUGCUAAACCGUAAGGUGAUGUAUAGGGGCUGACGCCUGCCCGGUGCUGGAAGGUUAAGAGGAGUGGUUAGCUUCUGCGAAGCUACGAAUCGAAGCCCCAGUAAACGGCGGCCGUAACUAUAACGGUCCUAAGGUAGCGAAAUUCCUUGUCGGGUAAGUUCCGACCCGCACGAAAGGCGUAACGAUUUGGGCACUGUCUCAACGAGAGACUCGGUGAAAUCAUAGUACCUGUGAAGAUGCAGGUUACCCGCGACAGGACGGAAAGACCCCGUGGAGCUUUACUGUAGCCUGAUAUUGAAAUUCGGCACAGCUUGUACAGGAUAGGUAGGAGCCUUUGAAACGUGAGCGCUAGCUUACGUGGAGGCGUUGGUGGGAUACUACCCUAGCUGUGUUGGCUUUCUAACCCGCACCACUUAUCGUGGUGGGAGACAGUGUCAGGCGGGCAGUUUGACUGGGGCGGUCGCCUCCUAAAAGGUAACGGAGGCGCUCAAAGGUUCCCUCAGAAUGGUUGGAAAUCAUUCAUAGAGUGUAAAGGCAUAAGGGAGCUUGACUGCGAGACCUACAAGUCGAGCAGGGUCGAAAGACGGACUUAGUGAUCCGGUGGUUCCGCAUGGAAGGGCCAUCGCUCAACGGAUAAAAGCUACCCUGGGGAUAACAGGCUUAUCUCCCCCAAGAGUCCACAUCGACGGGGAGGUUUGGCACCUCGAUGUCGGCUCGUCGCAUCCUGGGGCUGUAGUCGGUCCCAAGGGUUGGGCUGUUCGCCCAUUAAAGCGGUACGCGAGCUGGGUUCAGAACGUCGUGAGACAGUUCGGUCCCUAUCCGUCGUGGGCGUAGGAAAUUUGAGAGGAGCUGUCCUUAGUACGAGAGGACCGGGAUGGACAUACCUCUGGUGUACCAGUUGUCGUGCCAACGGCAUAGCUGGGUAGCUAUGUAUGGACGGGAUAAGUGCUGAAAGCAUCUAAGCAUGAAGCCCCCCUCAAGAUGAGAUUUCCCAACUUCGGUUAUAAGAUCCCUCGAAGAUGACGAGGUUAAUAGGUUCGAGGUGGAAGCGUGGUGACACGUGGAGCUGACGAAUACUAAUCGAUCGAAGACUUAAUC
rnacentral:rRNA from 1 species